rnacentral:rRNA from 1 species
AUUGAACGCUGGCGGCAGGCCUAACACAUGCAAGUCGAACGAGUGGCGGACGGGUGAGUAAUGUCUGGGAACCUGCCUGAUGGAGGGGGAUAACUACUGGAAAAGGUGGCUAAUACCGCAUACCAUCAGAUGUGCCCAGAUGGGAUUAGCUAGUUGGUGGGGUAACGGCUCACCAAGGCGACGAUCCCUAGCUGGUCUGAGAGGAUGACCAGCCACACUGGAACUGAGACACGGUCCAGACUCCUACGGGAGGCAGCAGUGGGGAAUCUUGGACAAUGGGCGAAAGCCUGAUCCAGCAAUGCCGCGUGAAUGAAGAAGGCCUUCGGGUUGUAAAGUACUUUCGGCGGGGAGGCGUUACCUGCAGAAGAAGCACCGGCUAACUCCGUGCCAGCAGCCGCGGUAAUAC